AUUUCAAUUAUUUCUAAACGGUUUACGUUUUGUUACAACUCAUUUAAUGAAAUAGUUUUGUAACAAAAAUGCUUUAUUACAAAAUACAAAUGAUGAAAACAAAUUUCUCGAGCACUGAUUUAAUUCUUGCACCGUGCAUAUCGACUAGUGCGGCAACCAUCUGCAUACGAGAAGCAAGUGCGAAUAUUCAAGAUAAAAUAGGCAAUAUGCCGGCAACAGAAUUAUUCUUACAACAUUAGAUCAGCAACUCGAAACGCCUGAACUCAAGCAAUAUUGGUCACCGACGCGACAAAUCAAAACUCAUCCAAUAUAUGUACUAGCAAAGAGCAAGAUAAUGUUAAUUAGUAUAUUAAUCACCUAAACAUUGGAACGUAAUGACUGUAGUAGCUAUAACAAACGGUAGACAACAAUUGAUUCAAGUUUACCAGUUCCAGCAAGCGUUGAAAAACAACAGUCAUUCCCAACUCCAACUGAGUUCGUUUUAGGAAAACAAUAAAAUUAAAUUGUUAAUUGAAA